rnacentral:tRNA from 1 species
GUUCAAGUCCACUUAGGCCCAUUGGAUGGGGCCUUAGCUCAGCUGGGAGAGCGCCUGCUUUGCAAGCAGGAGGUCAUCGGUUCGAUCCCGAUAGGCUCCACCAUAUCAAGGUAAGAGGUUUCAACGUAGUUGCUUUGCGUCUGCGUCUACAAGCGGAUUCGGAGAAGCUGAAUUCCUCGACGCAAACCAGCGAAGAAGCGAAUUCAAAGGAGCUACUUUGCGUCUGUGCCUGCGUCUGCUAGCAGGUUCAGGGAAGCAAGAUUCCUCGGCACAAAGCCGCAAGGAAGUUUGUUCAAAGAAGUCGCUUUGCGUCUACAAGCGGAUUCGGAGAAGCUGAAUUCCUCGACGCAAACCGGCGAAGAAGCGAAUUCAAAGGAGCUGCUUUGCGCCUUCGUCUUCUAGCAGGUUCAAGGAAGAUGGAUUCCUCGGCGCAAAGCUGCAAAGAAGCGAAUUCAAAGGAGCUACUUUGCAUCUGCGUCUUCUAGCAGAUUCGAGGAAGUGGGAUUCCUCGAUGCAAGACUGCAGAGAAGCAAAUUCAAGAAGCAGUCUCGUUCCUUGAAAACUAGAUAACCGGAAAAGCGGAGGCGAGCGUUUCGCCGCGAUGGGCAAAUGUUCUUCGCCUGGAGGGAUGUUCACAUCCCGAAGGCGAAGGUUAUUUGACCCCGAGCGGCGGCGAGCCGAAGCUAGACAGUAAGGAAGA